rnacentral:rRNA from 1 species
GACGAACGCUGGCGGCGCGCUUAACACAUGCAAGUCGAGCGAUGAAACUUUAACAGCCCCCUUCGGGGCGAAGAUAAAGUGGAUUGGCGGCGGACGGGUGAGUAACACGUGAGUAACCUGCCUUAGACAUUGGGAUAGCCUCGGGAAACCGGGAUUAAUACCAAAUAAAAUCAUAAUGACACAUGUCAUAACGAUCAAAACUCCGGUGGUCUAAGAUGGACUCGCGUCCCAUUAGCUAGUUGGCAGAGUAAAAGCCUACCAAGGCGACGAUGGGUAGCCGGCCUGAGAGGGUGAACGGCCACAUUGGAACUGAGAAACGGUCCAAACUCCUACGGGAGGCAGCAGUGGGGAAUAUUGCACAAUGGAGGGAACUCUGAUGCAGCGACGCCGCGUGAACGAAGAAGGCUUUCGAGUCGUAAAGUUCUUUUAUAUGGGAAGAUAAUGACGGUACCAUAAGAAAAAGCCCCGGCUAACUACGUG